GCUUUAUCACUGAGACUUGACUGUUGUUUAGUUGUUUUUCCCCAGUUUGGCCAAUUUCCAUUGCUUGUUAGGUGAUAAUGAGCAACUUCCAAAGCAAUAUAUGUGAAAAUCUGAGGAAAACAUCCUUGCACCUGGUAAAGUGCAAAGAACAUCUGCCUUGGUGGUGACAAACUGGAAACACUGGGACUGUGCCUGGCCAAUUUCAUAUUUCACAGAUGAGGUGCUCGUGUGGGAACAGUGAAGACAGGCUGCUCCAAAAGGGUGGUGAGCUGGGAGUGGAGCCAUGUGGAAAUGAACAAAGCCACUAAGGAAGAACAUGUCAAGAUGAGAAAAAAUAAAUGGACAGCAGAAACUGGUGUAAUCUCAGGGCCAAAAUCUCUUACUCCAAGUUUUGAAAUGAGUAUUGGUAGAAGUUGGCUCCUCUUGAAAUCUGAGAAAUUAAAUUCAAAUCAUUUAAAUGAAACGGGCAGUCUGUAACAUAAACUGGGAGCUUAAUACAAAUGAAACCACCAUAACGUGUUGUGUCUCAUCUAAACACAUUAUUAUUCUCAAAGGCCUCUAUAAACAUUAAUAACUGAAUGAUGUUUUAACCUCUGAUUCACAAACAGAGGAUAAAAUUAAAAAUGGAAAAGGAUUAUACUUUUUUCUAAAUUGCAUUUUACUUGUGAGUUUGAUAGGGGGACAAUUGGCCUAGCAUAAACAGUAUCAUAUUUGUCGUGGCUUUUAAAGUGCAUCCAAUUAUAAUUUGAGUGAUAAACUAAUGCUGCUAACCAGGUUAGUGCAGCCCAGCUGGGCCCUGAAAUGUUUUAGUGAACACUGCUUGCUUAAUCCAAUAAUCUCUAAUCCAUAGCGUGGGAGAAAUGUUUCCAUCAGGAAGCUGAAGUAGUAAAUGUAUCAUGUCGUUUAGAAGAUUAUAGCCAGGCCUGCCUCUGCAGUCUGGUCUCAGAAGGACACUCUGUACCAAUUAUGUCCAGCUCUCUGCUAGGCUGAGACCAAAUCUCAGGAUAUUUGCAGCAGAGUGCUGUUCUGUCACCUCGGCACUGGGGUCGGAUUAAUUCCCCUUUUGUCACGCUAGUGUUAAUAACUUCUUACAUACGUCAGUAAAUGGUAACUGUUGUCCCUUGUCUUUUGCAAUUCACAAAGCAAGACUGGAAUAAAAGUUCUGAAU
rnacentral:lncRNA from 7 species